UUCGUUUUAAAUGAAGAUUUUAGACUUUUAAACUCAUUUUGAAUAUGAAUUGUGUGUUUUGUACUUGUACAUUACGUUUUAGCCAGUUUUAAGAUUUUUGAGAAAAAUGACCAAAAUACCCUUGUGAGACGAAAAAUUAAUAUUUUAUUUGUUUAAAGUUGGAAACAGCUUAAAAUAUUUUAGAACACGAUAUUUGACAAUGGUUGCUCACAAGGGAACAAAGAAACUGAUAGUAAAGCCUUGCGGGGUUUCGGGUUGACAUUCCGGGCAAUAAGUGUCUACCGGGACACCGCGGCGGUUGUCACGGGCUCGAGGGGAGUACCG
rnacentral:lncRNA from 1 species